GUGUGUCAGAGGAAUGAUUCAACCUCAGGUCUCCCUGACUUCUCAAACCUAGAUCCUUUGGACUCCAAGACCUGCUCUCUAUUUCCUUUGUCAUGUUGCAUCUCAUGUGUGACAGACCUUUCCUCCUGGCCUUUUAAGUCGUCAUUGGUGUCUGUGUGCUGGGAAGUCUGGAAACUGCCACUGCUGUUAGUGAUUCGUCACCUGGAAGUCUGCUCCUAAUUUGUUGAGGCAAGUCUCCUAUUGAAGCUCAGGGUCCACUUACCUUAAAUUGCCCACUUUUUGGAUGAAGGACUUUUGAAGUUGGCUGAAACAAAUCCUGAAGAUAACUUAGCCACCUGUUAACAAGUACAAAUGGUUUUACAGUUGGGGAAACUGAAGCUCAGGAAUUUUAAGUGAGUUUGCUACUGCCAUAUUGCUGGCGUCAGAAUUCA